rnacentral:lncRNA from 1 species
AUUGUGUUCAGAAGGAAUUACUCAAUUUGACAUUGCACUAUCACAAAUGUAGGUUACAAUUGUGGGUAUACAAUAUAAGUGGAAACUUAAUUCGCAUUACAUCACUGAUGCGCAAUGCACAGCACUUGAACAAAAAGCAAACGAGUGUCAUCAUAUUUACACAUGCGCGCAUCUACAUAAUCAAUAGCUAGAUCGAAUACUACAUUUUCAUUAACCUGGACUAGUUUCCCCUUCCAUAAGUCAGGGAAGAAACUCAUACCAAAACAAAUAGAAAUUGGUAUAUUGCCAUUUUUGAAGUUUGCCAUGGUGGUAACCAAUAACUUAUAACCACACCUUUGAUUUUGUAUGAGUCUUUUAAGAAGGCCAAUGCUCAUCUUUGAAGGACUUGAUGCUGCUUGACACGCCUUUCCCCAGCUUGGGCAGAUUAACUACUCCUGAAACAGGAGGGUUGUCCUGGAACCUCAGAAGCUUCUGCCGAGAUUCUUUCCUCAUUGCCGCUGCAUAGUUGAUGGCAUCCCAGACCAAACCUUUGAUGAUAGUUACAGCAUAAUACCUUGCUGAAUCAAGUGGCACAUUGCUUGCAAAACCUACAGAUCAAAUUCAGAAGGCAAAUCUGUCAUUUAUGCGUUGUAUAUUUGUAUAUUAAUGCUGGUAAUAGCACCCGAAAAUUGGGUAUACAAAGCCACAAAUCAAUCAUGUAUUAGUAUAAAGCAUACUGUCAGCUUGCUAAGUCCUGUGCACCACCAACCACGUUUACUGCCAGAUUGCAGGGUAUCCUAUAUAUAAUAAGGACAAACGAAGCAUUGUUGACUGAAGGUCCACUACAGUGCAAGGCAAGCAUGAUACUGUGAAAAUGCAAAAACAUUUUACGCCAAUUACUUGCUAAUUGACCAUAUUUUUCAUUGUGUUUUCCAAGGAAGAAAUAAUCGUGGUACGCUAACUGAAGCUUCAAGUUAAAAGACAGUUUGUUGAAGUGAACACAAGAAAAGAGCAUCGCAAUCGCUGCACAGCAGCUUACCACUGUCCUCGUGGUUCCUGAUGAGGCCGUGCUGCGGCAGGCCGAUGCCGACGCCGGCGAGCGUGAAGCCGACGCUGAAUCCCACGCCGCACCCGGCGCCGACGUACCCAAUCACCUCGGGCCCGAAUCCCGGCCCCCAGCCGACGCCGCAGCCGAGGCCGAGCCCGACGCCCCAGAAGGUGCCGGCCGUCGGGUGCACGGGGUUCCAGCGCUCGUACCGCCCGAGCACGCCCUUGAUGAUCAUCCUCGGCUUCACCGGAAUCUCAACAAGAGAACGGAACAGCAAAGUCAGUAACCUCACAAAGAUUAGAUUUUUCCGUACAAAAGGAGACGGAAAGAAGGGGAAAAUGGUGGGCGGCAUUGAAGUACCAGGUUGGGCUGGGCAUUUGCUGCCGCUGACUCGGCUGGAGUUGUUCUGGCCGACGGCGGUGGUGGCGGAGCGGGUGGGGGAGGCGGCGGGUGCUGGAGCUGGGGGGAGUCGGGCAUCAGCUGCCGCUGCUGUGAAGAAGCCUCUGGGUUGGUCGUGACGCCGCCUGUUGAAGCCGUGGCGCCGCCUUGCUGGAGCCUCUUCCUCUUGGCUCUUGCCGCCGUCCGUGCGGUGCGGUGUCCCAGCUACAGAGCUUUUGGCAAAAUCUUAUCGCCGUCUCGUCGUCGUCGUCGUCGCUCGUUCAGUCGUUCCGGUGACCUGUCCCAACCCAAUCCAAAGCGUCGCCGUGGAUUGGGCCGGAAAACGGAAGUCCGUGCACUUUUGCUUUUGGGGCCGUGGACGAAUUUUCUUUUCGAAGAACCGGGCCGUGGACGAUUGUGCCCACCUUCUGCGUGUUUGCAGUAGAAUUUCGGGCCGUCAGGUUAAUCGGGCCUCUGGUAAGAUUCAACCUGAAACAGAGGAAUUCCAUGUUAGCUUGAGAACAAAAUAAUUCUUAGAGAGAUCAUUUAAUCCCUGAAGUCAUAGUUCUGUAAUAAAGUUUAGAUCAAGCAACACCAUACAUAGAUUAACAGAGAAAAAUGGAUUAACAGAGAAAAAUGUUAUCUUUCAUAAUAUUAGUAAAGAAACGGAAUCAAAACAUACAGCAGGCAAUAGGCACAUACACAAAUUACAGAUACAUCAUUUGUUCUGGAACAAACCCUACACAACCAAACUACUCGUGAUUAGGCGACAAGCGCAACAAAGCGGUGUCUUGUUCUCUCAGGCAUGGAAGGAACAACAGGAGUUAGAAAAGGUUCAGAACUGUACAAGAAAAACACUACCACUCAUCGCUUGGAAUCCUUGAAGCUGCCGAAAUCUGAAGUGCCAAAGCCACCGGAUUGUCUCCCAUAACGUGAGGAGCCUGAAUCAUCAGAGCUCCGGGAACGGCCAAAGUCAGGGCUGCCACGCCUGCUGAAAUCCCCUUGUCCAAAGUCGCCAAAUCUAUCAGAAUGACUGAAACUAGACCUGCCAAACUCAUUGGAAGGUCGUCUGAAACCUCCAGAACCACCACGGUUUCUCGAACCAGAGUCACGGAACCCACCACCGCGAUCAAAGGAACCACCAAUACUGUCAAAAUCACCAGACCCACUGGAGCGGCGAUCUCCAAAGCCACCAAAACUUUCACGGCCAAAAGACCCACCCGUUCUUCUGCUUCCAACUGAUCUAGAGCGAGUAUCUCUCAUGACAUUAAACAUGUCUGCAGCCUCAUCUGCAACUGGCAUCUUUGGAAGCUGCACGCGGUAAAUGCAAAUAAAGUGAAUUGAGUUUCCAUAUCUCAUCUCAGAUACCAAAAUAGCUUCAUCAGGAUUCAAGAUGUAUGGUUCCUAAAGUACUUUACCUCUGUGAACCUGCAUCCUAUAUCUUGCUCAAUGACCCUUACAGCUCUAGUUUGUUCAUAUGUGUAUAUCAAAAUUGCACUGCCUUUCUUCCCCGCCCGUGCAGUUCUCCCAGAUCUGUGAACAAACAACUCUGAGGUAUUUGGAAUCUCAUAAUGUACCACCUGAAUAGAUAGGGGGGGACAACAGUUCUUAGUCAAAAACUCAAAACUAUGUAAAUAAAACGAGUCAGCAGACAUACUUUCUGGGAAUUGAAAAGGUAUGUGUGGUAAACAUCUGCAUAUAAUAUGCCCCAGGUUACUUACCAGAUCAACAUUGGGAAUGUCUAAUCCACGAGCUGCAACAUCAGUUGCCACAAGGAUAUUGAAGCGGCCAUCACGAAAUCCUGAGAGUGUCCUCUCUCUUUGAUUCUGUGAAAUAUCCCCAUGUAGCGCCUGACAUGGAUAACUCCUGCCCAUAACAUAUGCCAAUCUAUCCGCUUCUCGUUUAGUUUGAGUAAACACAAUGCAUUUUCCACCAUUAGCAUGCUCCUGAUGAUGUGAGAGGGGAACAUGAUUAUUUUUUUUUUCAACAGGCAAACCAUGAAACACAUAUGCACACAGGAGAAUACUCACUUUAAUCAAUGGACCAAGAAUUGAUGGCUUCCCAAAGUUGUCAGAGGCAAUGGAAUAGAGAGAGAUUCCUUCUGGCAAUUUCUGGUCUGAGUCACCAACCUGAGGAAGAAGAGAAGUAAAUGUCUGGGAAAGAAUGUAUCAUAUGCUGUACCGAGAAGAAAUCCAGAUAAUAAAGUUCAAGUGCUGAUUUGGUGUUCUUUUUCUAUGAAGGAAAAUUUUGAUGCUCAUCUGAUGCAUCAAAUAAUGUCUCUAGUCUCAGGAAGAUCUAUCCAAGGCAGGACUUCAUAUAUACUUGUAUACAACAGGACGCAUGAUUUUCAUGAGAAGCUAGGAAAAGUAAGAUAUAAGUAACAAGCAAAUAAGAUAAGAAGUCACUCACAAGGUCAAUUAUAACUGGAUCCUUUAAGUACUUGUUUGAAAUUUUUCUUAUCCAACUAGGAAUUGUUGCAGAGAACAGCAUACUCUGACGGUUCUGUGGCAACUGCUCCAUGAUCACCUCAACAUCUUCAUCAAAACCCACAGCCAGCAUCUGAUCAGCUUCAUCUAGAACCACAAACUGGAUCUCUGAAAGGUUUAAAACACCUCUUCUCAAAAGAUCAAUAAUUCGACCUGGAGUUCCAACCACUAUGUCAACACCAUAGUUAAGAACUCUCAUUUGCUGAUUGAUAGGAACACCUCCAUAGACACAGAGAGUGUCCAAUGGAGCAGAUUCUCUAAAUUCCUUCUCAACCUGUCGAGCAAGUUCUCUUGUUGGCGCCAAGACUAUGGCUAAAGGAUUCCUACUGCUUCUGCACACAUCACACUAUGCAAUUAUUACAAUAAAUUCUAUCUCUCUGGUAUAUAAAUUGAAAGAAUUCCAAAUGUGAAAGAGAAACUAACCCAUUCUUCUCAUUGUAGCUAAUAAUCCUGUCCAUAAUAGGAAUACCAAAAGCCAAGGUCUUUCCAGUUCCUGUUCGAGCACGGCCAAUCAUGUCUUUUCCUUGCAUUGCUGGCUCAAGAACAGCCCUCUGGAAAACAAGUAGCAUGAACCGGAUCAGAUUGUAAAACCAACAUAUUUACAUGUAUAGCAUCCUUUCAAAUGGCAGCAUAAAAUAGGUUCAGGCACUUGGUGCCCGUUGUUCUGAACUUCUGAUCACCUAAGAUGCUUAAUAACUACAUGAGUGGUCUCUCACAAAUAUAUUGCACAUAGAAAUUAGUUACAAAAUAUAUAGGUCACAGCAUAUGGAGCCAGCAUAUAGACUUAAGCAAAAAAGGCAUCUUAUACCUAGUUUAGGCUCAAAGGAAGCAUACAGCAGGACGGCACAGAGUCUGCAUUAUAAUCUACUGAUUCCAGUUUAACAGUUCCAAGCAAUACUACAGCUUACAGGUCUAAACCAAAAUCGCUGCAAAACCAUCAAUAGGGUGCAGAAUACAAAUUCAGGAGCUCGCAUUACAUCAUACAGAUUACUAUACAUCCCUGAUGCUAAAAAGUAUGAAAUGCCUUUUGUCCCUUCCAUAAAACAACUAUAUCGAAUUCGAUGAAAGCUACCAUUUCAGUAAUCCUCUGCUCAUAUGCAUCAACGAGUCAUAUUGUAAACCUAACUAUUUACAUAUAUAGCGUCUUUUCAAUGAAGAUGGCAGCUGGAAACAGGUGCAGAUGCACGGCACUUGUUCUGAUCUUGCGAGUUUCUUAGUAACUAUGAGGGUGGUUUUUAGUGCACAAAGAAAUUAGUUGCGAAACAAGGAUAGGACACACAUACAGAGCAAUCAUACUGACUUAGCAUUUUAGCAAAAAGGCAGGUUAUGCCUAGUCUAGGUUCACAGGAUGGAUACAGCAGGAUGACAAAGGGCUCUGUUAUAAUAUACUGAUUCUAACUAUUGGUUGCAACACAUCUUACAGGUUUGAACCAAAAUCAUGCUGACGUCAAACUUUCAAAUUUGCAAACGCACCAGCACUCAGCACGUUGCAGUUGCAGAUUAAAGGUAUUAGGAGCUCAGUUAUUUAAAUUAUAUCAUUGCCGUGUACAGUCCUGAUGUUACAAAAUUAAGAAAUACAUUUUCCUCCGUUCAACGAAACAAUUCCAUGGGACUCAGUUAAAGCUAGCAUUUCGGUAGCGCUUAAUUUGUUUCACAUCCCACAAUUCGAACAAUCCAGAAGCUCAAAAGGACGCGAGUACCAUUUUCCAUUCAAAAUCAGACCAAAUUGAGAAAAGCCUGACAGACUGCAACCUCCGAUCAGAACGCGACAGGAGGCACCUGGAUGGGGAAGAGCCUGGUGAUGCCCCGCGCGGCGAGCUUCUCCACGAUCCGCCCGGAGAUCCCCAGCUUCGCGAUUUCCAGCCCGCCGUCCUCCCCCGCCGCCACGCCCGCGUCCAGUCCAGACCCAGCCCACGAGGCAGGCGUAGCCCUGAACCCCAGGGGGCUCGGCGUGCCGUGGAACGCCCGCCUCGGCGGCUCGAGCGCCGGCGCGCGGCGUACGGGGCCGGGAGGGGCCGCCGGCGGGGAGAGGAGCGCCGCGAGGAGGGUCCUCUGCCACCGCGCGGCGGCCGGCGGCGGGGUGGGGCGAGGGCGCGGCGGAGCAGGGAGAUCAUCGGCGCGGCGGUGGAGGGGAGUGGCAGCUCGUGGCGGAACUAAAACCUCGGGCUCGUGCUGGGGAGGAAGGAAUCGAGGGAUAUGACGAGAUUUUUUUUUCCCCUCCUCCUCCAUUUUCUCGCGGGCUCGUUGGGUGGGCUGGGCUGUGCAGAGUACAGAGGCGCCGGGAGAAAUCGGCCCAGCAUGUGUUUCAUUUCUUUUCCUUUUUUGUCUUUGUUUUAUUCAGUGUUCAUGGUUAAUCGAAAAAUAUUCAGCCUUUGAAUAAAAAGACAUAUUCUCUCAUUCUUUUUCCAACACUACCAUUUGUUAAAAAGAUCAGUAUAAUAUUAUUCGGGCCAUGCACUCGAUGAGUUGCAGAUCUGCAUACGACAAAGAUCGAGCUGCCGGGUACUGACAUGCAUGGAUGCAUUGAUGUCUCUCCCUGAGACGGCAUCACGCCAACAAGCAUCUUGCUAUGCUGUGUUCAUGUCAACUCGGAUCAACUGGGCAGCUAGCACAUGAUCCAAGAAGAGACAAGCAAGGGGCAAAAAAUAAUUUUAAAAAAAAAGAAGGAAUAAAACGCCAAAAUGCAAGCAGCCAAUCUGUCUGUCGUAUGCAUGCAUGCAUGCAUGCAACUGGGGCUAAGAGCAAGUUCCGAUGCAUGCCCCUGUUUGCUGGUGCCUUUUUGUACCCAGCUGGCUUGACAAGGUUGAUAUGAUCUGACUAGCAUCCUCAUCAUCCCCUCCUUGACAAAGUAAGCUCUUUCGAUCGACGGUAUCAUUAAAAUUAGGAAAAAUAAUAUAUUUUUAAUCCCUCAAGUAUUGCAAAAAAUGUGAUAUUCAUCCCUCAUAUUUCUUUUGGUACAAAUCAACCCUUUAACUAAUUAAAUUGGUGCAUUUAUCAUCGCAUCUUAGCUCAACAAUAGUUUAGUGUCAUAUAAUAUUGGUUUGGAUCACGUAAUCAUCUAACUAAUCAUUGCUUUGCCAUGUCUAAUGUUAAGUCAAUCGCUAUAAUCGUUCCGUGUGAAUCGGAUCUGUUAUUUUUUAUAACAUUUUUAUGGGUAGCUAAUUUAGAGAAUUUAUGAAGUUUUUAUAGACUUUAUAUCUUCAAGUUAGCACAUUACAUUGCCAAGCAGGGAUUAGUUAGAUGAUUGCAUGGUAUAAAUCACCAUUAGAACACUAAAUCAUUGUUAAACUAAGAUGGAGAUGAUUAAUACGCCAAUUUAGUUAGUUGAUAUGUACCAAAUAAAAUGUGAGGGUGAAUGUCACGCUUUUGUAAUACUUAAAGGAUGAAAAAUAUACUUUUUCCUUAAUAUUAUUAUAACUAGAGGUAGAAAAUAUGUUGUUUCCCGUGUAUACCAAACCUCAAUACCUCCUUAUUAACCAUUUACUUUUAGGCUCCGGCAUAUUUCCUGUGUUAGUUCCCAAAGACCGUCAAAAUAGCAUUUCCUUUUUUUUCUAGCGGAGUAGGAAACUGGAUUUAGGGCUUAAUUCCUUGUAAUCCGAAAGGGUGUAUGCAGCCAGCUGAAAUUGACAAUAUGAUAUCGCCUUAGCAAUUGGCACCAACAAAGGGGAGUUUCGGCACUUAAUCUCGCGAGCCACAAAUUAUUGAUCAAAGAAGAAAUAUUUGGAUGGGCUAAAAUUGAGUGUUAAAUUUUAGCACAUAUUAGCACUUAUGCGCACAUUCUAAUAUUUUUAAAUCUUGACUAAGAUUUAGCUCACUCCAUUAGUACUUUUAUUUGGAUGAGCUAGUGGUAAAGUUUAACACUUUUAUCCACCCAUUAGCAUUUGGAUUAAACAUGACCUUAGGGUGGGUCAAAAUUCUGAUUAGAGCAUCAAUCGUACGGUUGAAGUUCAAGAAAGAACUACAACGACGGCGCGUAGAUUAAAUAGACGCAGCAUAUACAGAUAAAUUAUCUACGAAAAGAUCUAUAAUCGCGUCGUGGUUAGUACGAUGUCAGCACGCGCGCAACCGUGCGAGCAUUUUGCUCGAUCAGCUGGUUGGUUCCAUCCCGUCAGCAAAUUAAAGCCAGCCACAUCGCUGCCAUCCUAGUUAUUUGUUGCGGUUGUGCCUUAGGCCAUAUUUGGUUGCAGGAAUAAAUCUCCAUCACAUCAGAUAUUUGGUACUAAUUAGAAGUAUUAAAUAUAGACUAAUUAUAAAAUUAAUUGUAUAAAUGGAGGCUAAUUCUCGCAGGCUAAUUCGCGAGACGAAUCUAUUAAGCCUAAUUAGUCCAUGAUUUGACAAUGCUGUGUUACAGUAAACAUGUGCUAAUGAUAGAUUGAAUUAAUGUUCAUUCAUUUAUGUAAUUAGUUUUAUAGUUAGAUUAUAUCAGCAUUUAAACGUACGGAUUAAAAAUAAGUACACCCCCUUAGCCUUACCAUUGGAUCGGAUUCCGUGCCAUGUACGUACCUAGUACUAGACCCUCAUUAUUUGUUGUGCGCUUGCCGUACCACCAUUGGGAUGAGGAUCUCGGAUCCCGUGCCAUGCAUGCAGGUGGGCAUGCAAAUAAACAAUGGCGCACAGCAAGGAGCAGAUGAUCCAUCAGGCAUGCAAAUGACACAAAGCAAGAAAGAAUCACGGCCAAGACGCAACCAUCCAAACUACUGCACUGAAGGUAGCAAAGGGUUUCACUGCCGAAACACAGCGAGAGAUGUUCGUCGUCGUCCAUGCAUGCUGGUAGACUGGACACGCGACGCUGGUAGCAUUUUGUUUGCUGCCUCGCUGUUGCGCUUUAAGCAUAUUCGGCUGCUUGACAAGACCGACUCAUCAUCACCGUCGAUCAGGGGAAUCGAAAUAAACGCACAGCUAGCAAUGCUAGCUCGCUCGCUGCACGCGGAUACUCCUUGGUAGAUCCCUGCCACAGUCCUUCCUUGUUACUGACCCGGUGUGUUGGCUCUAUAUGCAGCGUGGAUCCAUAUAUCAUAGGCGCAAACGUGUAAGAUUAUUCCGUUUCAUGUGAGUGUAACUACAUGCAGCAGGUACGUUGUCGCAGAUCAUAGUUAGUAUGUAUGCAUGUAUGUAUGUAACCUGUAUGUGUGUAUCUCUCUCUCUCUCUCUCUCUCUCUCUCUCUCUCUUCAUGAGCACGCAUCCAUCACCAUUCACCAGAUCACCUGGCCGGUUGGCUGGUUGUACCACGUACCAAUUAGGGUUUUUAACUCAGCUACCGAGCUGUGCUGCCCGGCCUUUUUGUCUGGUGAACCUUGGACGUCUAGCCCAUUCGCCACGUCACGCUAAUAAAUCCCCAGACACAUUUUCCGCUCCAUCUAGAUGAGUUUCAUUAAUGGUGUCCGCUUUCGCCCAAAUUUCCACCCUCUCGCGCGGAAGGACGGUUCUACCCUUGGGUUUCCGGUCUUGUUUGUCGGCGUACUCGUCCCGAUGGAUCCCUGCCCUACUCCCAGCUGGAUCCUGGGCCUGAUCGCAGCAGAAGAAUCAGCUCGGCCGACACGCAUCUGCUUUGCGUGCAGCGCAGGACUAUUGUUUGUCGCUCCGAGUUGUAUGUGGAUGAUGACGUGUGCACGGGACAAAGGCCGGCGGCGUGCGUACGGGCAGGGGAAACGGAGGGGAGCACGCAGCACGCGACCGCCGGCCAAGACGUGUGCACCUACAACUAGAUUGAUGGGGGUCGGUCGUUGCUUUAGGUUCCUCGGCACUUGCUUUUCAAUUUGCCACUGAAUAACAUCUAACAAAACCAUGCAUUUCAUCUCAGAAACAUCUAAUUAACAGAUCACAACCUUUUUUCCUACUACAUUAUAAUCUUCUUUCUACUCAUCACCCGGACAAACCUCAACUAACCAUAACAUAUUUUCCCGACAUUAUAGCCUUUCUUCUUCCUGCUCGCCGCAACAUCAACUAAUCAUAAUAUCUUUUUUUUCUACAUUAUAAUACUUCUUCUUCCUGCCUGGUGCAAGCUCAACGAGUCGUGGAAACCCUCGCCCCCGCCCUCGUCCUCUCGAGCCCAUUGGCUAUAUGACGCUCUCUCGCACACACCUUCCCCACAACAACUUACCACCCAACCCAACAACCCAACCCGUGACACAGAUCUUUUCGUAGAUAGCUGCUCCUCCGAAACCCAACCGGGUACUUAUUAUGUUUAUAAGUUCGUUUGGUUUAUUUACGUAAUCGUCUACUGUAACUCCAUAUUUAACUUAAAUGAUAUGGCAGUGCUCCUACUUUCUUUCGUAAAAAAAAAUAAAUUCUAGACACGUUGGAGUCUCAGAUGGGUUAAAAAGAGAAAAGGAAAAAUCCACUCAGCCAGACCAAGCUGCGGUGAAAAUCGAGCGACGGAAGGAGGUGAAUAAUCACACUCUGGACAUCAGCAACAACUUUUUUCGUAAAGAAAAGUUACCCUCGCUCGCUAACCCAAUUGUUACUUGCAUUGCUAGCAACAAGUGAGCGAAAGCAUUAACGCGCUGUAGUUUCUCAUCAACCAUGGCCCGGGCGCCGACCCAACCGUGACAGAGCCAGUAAAUUCCGGCCCGUGCAUCACGUACGCGCAGUACCAGCGAACCGUACGUGCAGGCCGGCCAGCAGGCGCGGCGCACCCAACCCGACGCGACAACCGGGGGCCGGCAUUUCGACCGGGAUGAGACACGCGUACGCACACGCCUGCAGCUCGCACCGUACGCGUACGGGGCUCGCACAGAUUCGCGUGCAGUGCCGACCACCGAAUCCACCCCACAGCUUGGCAGCUUGCGCGCAACUUGCCAGUGGACACUGCGACGACGAGAUGAGCACACUCGCGCCCGUACGAACAAGCACGUCGGGAAAAUUCAUUUGGAACUCUGCAAGAGCAGCAGCAAGAUCGAUCGUCGAUCAAUCGAGUACAGACUUAGCGAUGCGUGGCCGGCGCCGCCGCGGCGGGGGCGGAGCUUCGGAUGGCGCGGCUGCCUCCGUCGAACCGGCGGCGCUGGCGGACGACGACGACGACGACGCGGUUAUUGCUUUGUGCGGCGGCGUCGGCGUCUGUUUGGGCGCGGCUGGAGUGACGACGACGGCCGGCGGGGGGACGUCGUCGUCGGUGCUCGCCUGUUCGAUGGCCUGCUGCUGGUGCUUCCGCCGGGCGUGUUCCUUGGCCAGCUCGCGCGCGAAGCGCUCCAGCUUCUCGGCGUUGGUCUCGCCGGCCACCUUCCUGCCCUGGAAGAGCACCGACUCCACGCUCCUCUGCAGCAGCAUCGCCUCCGCCUUCCACACCGCCUGCUCCCCCGUCUCGCCGCCGCACGCCCGGGGCGCCCGCCCGCCGCCGCCGCCGCCGCGACGGCUCCCCGUGCCCUGCACACAGUACUCAAGCCGCAGUUAGUUAGCUGCCAAUCGUCUUCUACCACUCAAAAUAACUUGACAAUCAUGCCAAUUACUCCUAGCUAGUAGAAAACGAUUGAUUACUGCUACUGUUACCUGGAUGCGGAUGUAAUUGGUCGUCCUGCUGUGUCCGAACGCCAUGGCGACAGCUUGAUCCACCUAAACCACCAACAACAAGGCCAGAUCGGAUCACGCGCCGUACGGCAUGGCAUUCAUAACUCGCUCUCGCGCGUACGUACGUACAAUGAAACCGCAGCGCGCGCGCGCGAGAAUUUAUUGCGUUCGAGGUGGGGGGCGAAUUGAAAGGACGCGGGAUCGAUCGAGCAGCAAUGGCCGUACCAUGUCGGACACGCCCUCGGCGGCGAUCCGGGCGACCUCCCCGCGCCCGGCGGCCUCCCCCGUGCCGAUGGACAUGACGAGGAGGUUGUCGACGGUGGCCGCGGCGGGGAACUCGCGCCGGUUGUUGAGCACGUGCGUGAUCGCGGCCGCCGUGGGGUUGCCCAGCGCGGCGCCGCCGCCCACGGCGCGGAUCCGGGUGCCGCCAUCCACGGACAAGACCUCUACCGCCGCGGCACCCGCGCACGUCGCGGCGCAGACGUCCCGGAGCCGGAAGUCGUGCGCGGGGGACUCCGCGGCGUCGGCGCGGGAGAAGAGGAACGGCGCCCGCGUGCCGAGGUCGUAGCACGGGACCAGCACGGGGCGCACCGUGUCCCGGAGCGUGAGCUCCCCGAGCGCCCGCCCGAAGGCGGACCCCGCGCCGCCGCGGCGGACGAGACCGGCGGGCCAGCUCCUCCCGCGCCGGACGCGGCGGAGCAGGAACGCGAGCGCGUCCUCGGCGGCGUACAGGGGCCGCCCGCGCGGGCCGCGCGCGAACAGCAGGGCCGCGAGGACGCCCCCCGCGCCGGACCCCGCCGCGACGUCGAAGAAAUCGGGCAGCCGCGCGGCAGGGCUCCCCGCGCGCCGCCGCAGCGCGGCCUCGAGCCGCACGAGCGCGGCGCCGGCGAGGAGCCCGUCGGACGCGCGCGCGCCGCCGUCGAUGGAGAGGACGCACACCUUGCCCGGCGCGCGCGGGGGGCCGGCGGCGGCGACGUCGGCGCGGCCGAAGAGGAACUUGGCCUCGAGGAGGGAGAAGAUCUCGUAGGUGAGCCUGCCCGCCGCGUCGUCUCCCUUGGCGCCCUCCUCCGCCCCCGCCGCGAGAUCCGCGGCGGCCUCCAUGGCUAGGCUCGGCUCCGCGUCCGUCCGGUGGUCGCCGUGGCGCGCGCGGUCCCUGGCCGGCAGAGCCCGGGUUUUAUAGUGGGGGAGAAGGCGGGAGAGACGGCGCAGCGUGGCAGCGUACGUGCGUGUACUGUGCACGUACAGCGGUUGCCUCUACGUAUACUCUUUCACCGUAUAAGAAUUGAUGCCGUGUGUACGUAUACGUUAUGGGCGCCGUACUGGAACGAGCACUAAUGAUUUUUAGUAUUUUGCCGUCUAGUGAACGUACGUAAGUUACGAUGUCUGAGCUGAUAUUAGCACCUAACCGCAAUGGAUCGAUGCAGUUUUUCCAUCAGAAAUUUAAUUCUAAUUACUAUCGCCGUCUUUAGUAAUCUAGCAUAAAGGACUUUUCGGGCUUAAUUUUCCAAAUCGAUUCGCUGUAUCGACCUGUCCAUGGAGGGAUUUUUUGGGUCCUUUUUAAAUAUCGAUGAAUGAUAAAUUUUGUCGAGGUUUUCAAUUGUUGAUCUAAUGACAAACUUUUAAAAUUUUAUCUAGGUUUUCAGUUGUCGGAUCUGUAUCAGGUUUACUUUUCUUUUUCUCUUAUGCACACCAUCUUACACCUCUUGAUAUAAUUCUCGUUCACAUAUCAUAGCCACUUUUCUUCCCACAUUCCUCUCAUCUCUCAGCCUUACCAUCGUUUGCAACGUACAUCGAUGACAUUGGGUCCAGUAUUGAUGCUCAUUCCUUCUUUGCUCUUUAUCUGCGCACUUAUGCUAGCAAUGCACUAUAAGCUCUCUCACUGCUGCCACCAACCUUAACCACCGUACCUAAGGUGCACGAUCUCGCUAGCAACCAUCAUUUGCGCCCCCCUCCCCCCCACAUUAUUACUCCAUUCUAAAUUACUAGUCGUUUUGAUUUGAUUUUUUAGGUGUAUAAUUUUUACUAUACAUCUAGAUAUAUAUUAUAUCUACAUGUAUAGAAAAAUCUACCAAAAUGACUAAUAAUUUAGAACGAAAGAAGCAAUUAAUAGCGCUAAUAUCACUUCGUCAUCCUACCCACCACUCACCACCACCAUCAGGUGGGCUAUCCUUGUGCACGUACGACUCCCUACGUCCAAAAAAUCUCUCGGACCCCUAAUAUAACAACAAACCCUAACUUAGACUAUAUCAAAGAUAAAGAAAAGUUGGCACGUUUAAUUGGCCUCGUUAAAUUAAAUGGCAGAUAUUCAACAUGAGUCAUCACUCAAUCUUGUCAAAGACAGAGACGCAAGGUGCACGUUAGUCGUCAACCGGCGUGAACCUCUAGCGACGCACAGACGCACAGUGCACCGACCACGCGAUUGGUACGGAGCCAGCCGACGGAGCCACCGAUAUCAGCUCUAUGGGAUACCGUGUCACGUGUCAGCUCCUUAGGCCGUGUCCAACAGUUGAGCCGGCUCGCUAGCUCUUAGCAUGAUGUGGCGAUUCUAUACCCAUCAGUCUAACGCUUGCACAUGUCUUGAGGUUUCAUGGAACUCAUAUGUAAGCAUUUUUUUACUCGUUCAAUCACUACUCCUCAGUACCGGAUCAUUUUUACGGCGGUAGUUUUGAUAUGGAUGGAAAUGUAGUAUCAGAUCGUGUUACCGUCCGGUACUAAAACAUUCUCCAUAGAUUAUUUUAAAAGAAAAAUAUGUUCCAUUCAAUCACAAUUGCUGUAUAGGUAAGAUAGUAAAGGAGGUACACGCGAGGUAAGAGGUUGCGGAUUUGAAUCUGGCACUGUAUACCUGCGAUGUGCGUGACCUCUGCCUGAUUUAAUAUAAUUUUUUAAUAAAAAUACUUUAGUGAAGACUGUAAUUUUUAAUUUCGAUCUCACAGUACCGCUUCUGUAACCAAUGCCUAAUACCCUUAUCACCUAGUACUCGGUACUCGCCCGCAGCGCGAGCCCAUUUGCCCGCCGCCGAGCAUCGCGGGGCUUCAACUCGGGAGACGUGAUUAAGCUAGUCUCUUGUCCCCACGCUAACGCGAAGCUUUUCUUCCUUUCUCUCUCUUCGACGGCAGCAGCAAUCCAACGUGGUCAGCUAUGAGCUAGCUGACCUUAGCUGAAUAGUAUAGAACAGUAGUUUUUUUUAUUGAUUUUGCAGCGACUCAUUGUUGCCGCGCGAGCGCCGUCAGCUCCGGCCGGAUCGAAGCCGGCAAGCCGCGGGGGCCAGCGAUCGUGCUGGCUGUGCCUAACAGCAGGUAGCAGCUGCUUCCCCUGCAUGUGUACAUUGCGCGGCGUGGUCCCCGGCCGGCCGGCCAGUCGCCAUGGAUCCGGGGGUGGUCGAGCUGCUUGUAUGCGGCAGGUGAGGCGGAGGCCCGCGAUCGGCGCGGGAGCAAUAAGCGCGGCCGCGGCGCGUACCGACGGCGUAUACGUACGGUUGGAUCGGAGAAGAUAAUUGGGAUCGGCAGCCAGCGUACGCAUCGGAAUCGCCGGAUCUGCCGGCCGGUCGCAAGGUUAAUGCGCGACGGCCCCACGCGUCGUCGUCGUCGUCCUCGCGCGAUCUCUCUCCCCCUGCCUGGGCUGGGCCACGGGUAUCCUAGGCCAUGAUCCUCUUCAACAUCGGAUUCCGUUCCGUCCAUGCCCCGCUGCUAUUUCCCAUACUACAUCAUUGCCACUGUUAAGCUCCGAGGCGUCACGGAAAUUAGCCAACCACCGUGCAUUAAGCAUUGUUACUCUCGUCUCGCAUCGCCUGCCGCUGAAAGAACAUUAGCAAGGUCGGUUCUUGAUUGAACGACUUUUCUACUGCUUGCUAUCCUGCUUUGUAUAGCAGGUGAUGAUGCAAUGAAGUAAACAGAUAUGCUUGUAUCGUACGAUCUUGAAUUCUUGAUCAAGGAUGCCACGCCACCUAUGAGAAACUUUCUUGAUGGCCUUGCUCCUAGCAAAUUUUGAUGACACGAUUCACACGUGUUCAGUUGGUAAUAAUUUUCCAACUUGUCAUAAAACACUGAGAUGGAUGCUUUAUUUCGCUGCUCCAAACUCCAAAGAGGCUCGUUCAUGAAUCACGCUCCGCUUUGUUCGUGCAUGUGUGUUGCUAUACGUGUACGGACUCGUCACGUACGCGCUUAGCCAGUAGUGUGCCGGUGACUAUUUAUACCGGGAGUGGUGGAGUAGAGUGGCGGCGCUUGGUUUAUUUUGGUGUGGCCGGACGUGUUGUUGUCCUAGUCCAAAAAUUAUUUGUUCGAGUUUGUUAACGGGCCUGUGAGAACUCAGAUGUAACGGGCCAACAUCGGUCCAACUCAUACGUAGUGCUCAAUGGGCUAUAUCAGGCUCAUUUAUGGGCUUGUAACGCACGCAUGAUGUAUGCGUGAUGGGCCGUUCCAAAACCAUCAACCCAAGUAGUAGUAUUUGUACUUGGAUCAAGCGGCGAUCUUAGUGCAUGUCUUCUGUCAACAUGUAAAACCUUUUUACCAGCUUGGGGAGGCAUGCCUCAUGUCGAGAAUGGGGCUGCCUCUGGUUCAGUAGAAAUGUUCUCCUAACGCAAGUUUGCACUGGUCGAGGUGAAGAUUGCAGCUAGUUCCUGUGUUUGAGAUCAACAGCUAUUUUGGCUUCUAUUGUUUUUGCAUCAAUGUAUCGUUCACUUAAUCUUGUAUUUGGGCUAUUCCGAUCCAUGCAAACAUCUGUCACUUUAUCCCUAGAUUUAGGGUCUCGCAUUUUGUGCGCAAAUCUCCAACAUUGCAAGUGCCUGAAAUCUAGUGUUGUUCAUGAACAUGUUGAAAAUAACAAAUUUUCAUUUGCACGCACAUGAUGAAACCUUGUAUGCUUAUCGUAACUGCUGGUAGAUUCGAUUGGUGUUCUCUCUCGUAUUUACCUAUCAUGUUACCAGAACCUACUGCAGGAAUUAGAGAUGCAAGUUAUAUAUAUUUUGAAUCAUUGGAUGGAUCAAAAAAUUGAUAAAAUAAAUUAGAAUGGUAUUUUGCGUAAAUAGCUUGAGAUAAAAAAUGAACUAGAGCAGCGUACCAUCGUAAUUAAUUAGCUGAUCCAAAAAAUACUAUUGGGUACCAACUUGCAUCCUUAGCAGGAACGUCUAAUCACUACUGCAGAUUGGGUCAUUGCAAACACCUCCAUCACUGCUGAUUUGAACGAAACCGACAAUAACAGUCUAUCACAAUCGAAUCAUGAUAGAUUCAACGAGCAUCCCCGCUAUCUUUCCCCUCUCUCCCCCUGCCCCCUCCCUCGCUGCCACCUCCCUUUCCCUCUUUCACCUUCCCUCUCUCACCUGGCGGACAGGCCCGGGCACAUGGGAAUGCGGCCCGUGCAGCCGUACAGGGCCCCCAAUUUUCUGGGGCCCCAAAAUAUUUCCGUAGCCUCUGGAUGAAGCCCAUUAAAAGUCAGCUCCUGUCCUGUUUUGUUCCUAGCUAGCUGGCCCAGAUGCAACUGAGAACUGACGAACGGCCGCACGCCCUUGGCCAAAACAAAAGGCCCACCGAUUGCCCAGUUGCCGAUUCAUCUUCACGAAGCCGUCACGACUCGUGCUCGAAGCGGCAGCAGCGGCAAGCGGCGCUGCGACGACGAUCGCGACACCGGGGCAGGCGGUGCGGCAGCCGGCCGGCAACACCGGGGCAGGCAGCCAACGCAUUCAGCAACUACUGCAAAGCAAUUGACAGCGGCUCAAGGAGAAGGUAAAUAAGUAUUAUUUUCUCCAACUGUACUGAUUUGCUUGUAUCCUUUGAAUCUUCAAUAGAUUUUUGUUCUUUCAUCUUUUGUGUUACAAAGAUUGAUUGGAGUUAUGCCUUCUGCAAAUCAAUCUAGAAAAUAUGAUUCUGGCAGCCAAAAGCAUAAAAAAGCAAAAAAAUAGAUGACUUAACUCAAUUUUAGAAAGAGGCUAUGGAUAGAUUUAUUGUAAAAGAAUCACAGUGUCCUCCAAUAAUCAGAUACUUGAUUAGGACCCUAUACUAUACUAUAUUUAAUAUUUGAUUGUUCUAUUUCGCUAGUCCAGUAGGCCUCACUUUAAAGUUUUGAACGGACCCCAGUUUAUGCUGGCACGACCCUGCUGGCGGAGUCGCGCCGGCGCGGAUUGAGCAGCCCCUCCCUCACCGGCACCUCCUCCCCCCUCUCACGCCACGUAGAGCUGCGGCGGCGCGCAUCAAGGCGCCCCUCCCCUUCGCUCUCCCGCCACGCGGAGCCGCGGCUGCGAGAGAGGGGCCCCGGAGGCGCGGAUCGAGCCACCCCUCCCCACCCAAUGGAGGGGCUGCGCAGGUCCGUAUAUUAUGCAGUGCAAAUGGCGCGACCGCUCAGGGCCCCCUAAUUAAUCAGUAGCUGUUAAUUAGAGCCGCCCGCGAUACCCAUUAUUCAGCAGUAGCUCUUCACACAGGUGAAUAAGACAAGAGUCUAUAGAUGAGAAUUAAAUUUGAAGGACAUACAUUACAUUUCCCCGUGGCCUCGCUGCCUCUAGAAUUAUUAUGGGGUAUUUUGAUCCAAGUGCUAAUAUUUAAAAGUGCUAAAGUUUAGCACUAACUCAUCCCAAGAAGAAUGUUAAUAGGGUGGGCCUAACUUUAGCCAACAGUCAAAAACUUUAGAAGCAGUAUGAAUGCGAAUAGGUGCUAAAAUUUAGCACUCAAUUUUAACCCAUCCAAAUAGGCCCUUAGACAGUUUGACUUCGACAGUUCGUCUAUUCGCCAUGCACGCAGGAGCGCAGGACGCACCGCGCUCGACGCAAUCGCCACGAAGCGCCAACGCUGUGACCUUCCGCCCGUAGUCGUGACUCGUGAGUUGCUAACUUGCCGAUUGUCGCUGACUAUUAGUCUAUUAAUAUCUUGCUGGGUUGUCGACUUUCUAAUUGUCACCGAGACACUAAUUAUAUUUAAUAGAGGUUAAGAAAAUAUUGAUAAGCAAGAUUCGUCAUUUUCUACUUUAGCAUGAUUUAUUAUGGUAUUUCUUAGCAUUCCAAACAAAUGAAGUUAAAUAAUAAAUUUCAAUAUAUUUUGAUUAUUUAUAUUAUGGAAUGUAGAGCCCCAUUUUAUAUCUUGCACCAGGGCCUAAAAAAUUUUGAUACGGCCUUGUGGCUGUGGUGACGGCGGCGCGAGGGCCGGCAGUAGCAGCACGGAGCCGCAGCGGCGAGGGGCCGUGUACAGGGUGGAGCCGCGGCGCGAGGGUUGGCGGCAGCGACGCGAGCCGCGGUGGUGAGUAGGGUGGAGCCCCUAUUUUUUUUUCAAGAAAUGGCAUCGCCACUGGUUCUAGACCCAGCGGUGAUGGAUCCUCCCAACCUGCAGUGAUGAUCUUGUCUGUAGUAGUAAAUUUAUAUGGGCGCAUCAUAUCUUAUCACUUCGCUGCACAUGUCGGAUUGAAAACUUACAAGCCAUUCUUUACAGGCAACAGCCAACAGAAACCGGCUACCAAGUCAAAGGCACAGCCUGUUCGUAGCAUACAAUGGCAGCAACCAGCUCUCCAAUUAUAAAAUCCGUAUGGAAACAGCAAGAGAGAGGAGUUGCCAUGCUUCAUGGCAAGAUAGAAAUUAUCUAGAAUAAGAUAUUUUGCAUGGCUGGAUAAGGAUGUGGGCUAAUUAUAGAGUUAGAUAUUUAUUAAAUAAAAGUGUGGAAAUUGCUACAUGGCAACACCACAGCACCUAUAAGUAUCUAUAAAAAGAGAUACUCUCCUCCCCUCUUGACAUACCACAACACCCAUGUCACGGAUGUCAUCUCACUACAGGUCUAAAAAAAAGUAACAGUCAUAUAGUAACAUGAUUAUCUGUGGAACAAUUAAGCAAAAGCCAGAAAUAAAAUUGCAAGGAACUAAAGUGAAUUGAUUGUAACAUAGUCCGAAGGUCAUUUGCGCCCCCACUUCCAGAACUUGAGACUCAAUUAUUGCAGCUUUUACUUGCGCCUGAAGAAUGCGUUGACAGCGUUCAUAACAACAGUAGUGAACUCAAAAACCAUCCUCUUCAUCUUCUCUUCAUCUACCUCGUCCACGACACCCUUAAUCUCAUGGGCGACCUUCAAGAACUGAUCAUGCAUUAGCACCAUGACUUUAUGUAGAAUUACCUUGAAGACAAACAUUUUGCUACUAUGAGAGCACCAAGCAUCAUUGUGCGUAGAAAUUUGAUUGGGAGAUACUUGAGUUGCCUUAUAAGAUGAUGUGACCUCUGUUGUGAUUCAACCCUGCAAUCACGUACCCAUAGCACAACCAUUCGGAUCAACAUACAGUUUGGUAUGAAGGAUGGUCGCUUAACUACUAAAGCCACAUAGAAAUAGUAGAUACCUAUUCUUUAAAGUUCCGAAUGAGUACCAAUAUAUUCAAGCGGUCUAAGAUGCAAGUCUCCACAACAGCAAUAUAGGAAUAAAACCAGGUCAAGUAAUUAAGAACAGCAUAAAACAAGCAACGCAAACAUGAGGGACUUGUUCAGGCGCAGAUUCAGGAUGAUCAAGUGCAUCUUCUGCUGCACAACCAAAUCAGUUUAUUGGAAAAAAAGCACAAGCUAAGCCGCAACACAAGAACAAUACAUCAUAAAUGUUAUACGACGGUGACAAAUCAAAUUGAUAAGUGGAAAUAUGCAAGUUUACCAUCAUUGUAGGAUGAAAAAUAGAGUCUCAACAACACUAAGAAGUAAGACCCAGCUUAACAGCUAGCAAACAAGUCCAUUUUGUUCAGGGAUCUGGCAAUCUAGCUUAACAUAGAAACAAAACAAAGUCUGCAAUUUUCAUGAAAUAGCAACUCAGCGGCCCAAACCGUUCUUAGAUUGUUCUAAAACCACUUCCAAAAUUUGAAGAUGUCAUUGAUGGUUCUGCGGAACUCCUCCUGUACCUUGUUGCCGAAGAAAUUCCAGAUGGUCUUCAUGAAUUUCUUUGCCAGUAUCUUGCCAGCAGCUUGAGCUUUUAAUCAUCAAGUCCGGCCUUGCCCUUGAACUGCUUGAUGACCUCAUCAACGAUAUCCAAAAGCUGAGCUGAUACCAGCAUCAUAACAACUGGGAGAACCUCUAUGAUGGCCAUUUAGGCCAUGGAGAAGAGGAAACCAAGUAGAAACACCACAACGGUAUAGGGGAGCAUCAAGACACGAUGCAAUAGCGUCUUUGAAUUGGCAUUUGCUUCCUGCUUGCAAAUAGCACCGAAAAUUAGCAACAAAACCAAAUCUAAUGGAGGCAACCUUUCACAAAGCCAUUAGCUUGCAAACCAAUCUAGUUGUAACACAGAAACACAAGAUGAUCAAGAUUAAUACCUUGAAGUUUCAGAGGACUUGACAAGAUGGGUGUUUGUCUUUUCUAGUCGACGAACCAUAUGCUUGAUGUUCUGGAUCUCCGCAUAACUCUUCUUGUCCCUCAGGUGCGUUAUCCUCUUGGGGUAGCACCUUACCCUUGAUCCCACAGGCUUGGACCCUCCGGUGGCGCGGUCACCUAGGCCGCCACCUCCAGCAUCUUUUCGGGCUGUGGUCGCCGGGGGCGCCACCUCCCGUGCCCGUGCCCGCUCCCGCUCCUACGCCGGUGACGUUGUUGCUGUCGUUGUUCACUUAGUCUCUUGCGUUGUCCUCAGUGCCGGGUCUGGCCGUGUAGCCUCGCCAGGCCAUGCCGAGCCUAGCAGCGGCGAAGGGAGGAAAACCCAUAGCACCAUACAGCUUCUUGCAGUUGACAGGUCCCCAUGC